rnacentral:rRNA from 1 species
GGCUGUCGUCAGCUCGUGUUGUGAAAUGUUGGGUUAAGUCCCGCAACGAGCGCAACCCUUAUCCUUUGUUGCCAUCGAUUAGGUCGGGAACUCAAAGGAGACUGCCGUUGAUAAAGCGGAGGAAGGUGGGGACGACGUCAAGUCAUCAUGGCCCUUACGACCAGGGCUACACACGUGCUACAAUGGCGUAUACAAAGGGAGGCGACCUCGCGAGAGCAAGCGGACCUCAUAAAGUACGUCUAAGUCCGGAUUGGAGUCUGCAACUCGACUCCAUGAAGUCGGAAUCGCUAGUAAUCGUGAAUCAGAAUGUCACGGUGAAUACGUUCCCGGGCCUUGUACACACCGCCCGUCACACCAUGGGAGUGGGUUGCACCAGAAGUAGAUAGCUUAACCUUAGGGAGGGCGUUUACCACGGUGUGAUUCAUGACUGGGGUGAAGUCGUAACAAGGUAACCGUAGGGGAACCUGCGGUUGGAUCACCUCCUUAC